rnacentral:rRNA from 1 species
AUGCAACUGUUCGAUCUCAGAUCCAAGGGCUCUCGGAAGCCUGUAUCAUGGGAGAAUGGAAAGCCACUACCCUGCCGUUUGCACGCUGGUAGUUCGCUCCUACUCGUCCCCACACGUCCUUUAAUAUUACGGCGGUUCGCUCCUAGUUGUCUCGUCCUUUCACAUUACGGCAGUUCCACUAAUCCUAACCCUCCUCCCAAAUCCAUGGCGUCCCAAAUCUCCAUGAUCGGCGGUGAGUACAAGGUUAGAACCAUCACCGGUGAUGAGUUCGAUGUCAUCUACACCCGUUCUUCCGCGACGGUGAAAGGAUGCCUUUCUCGCUUCAGACACAUGUUCGAAAACUUAGAUGAUGAGUGGGUCGCUGGGCUAGAUGUUGAGUACACCACAGUCCUGGGACGAGAGAAGGAUCUAAAGGACGAAGAGAGGAAGAAGCCCGCCGUGAUCCAGGUUUACGUGCAUGACUUAUGCUUGGUCUACCACAUAUGCCAUGCCGACGUUGAAUGCCUGUAUUUUAAGAACUUCCUCCAGAGCAACCUAGUCAAAUUUGUUACUGUAGACUUUAUGAACGACAAAGAAGUCCUGAGUCGGAUAGGCCUCGUUGUAGGCAACCCCUUCGACCUCCAGAAGAAUCAGCUGCUGCCCUCCGGUGGCCAGCCUUCAAUGCUGACCUUGGCAGGAGCCAUGGUUCAUCCUUCGUACGGUAAACUGGAGAAACCUCAAUACACGUUUCAUCGUUAUGCAUGUCAGUGGAAUGUACUAGAUAUAGACCACAUCCACUACGCUGCAAUGGAUGGCUACCUUUGUUUCAAUAUCUACAAGGGUUGGAUGAAGAGCAAGAGUCAAGUGUGCGGUUCAAGCAAAGAAGUAUCGGCCAAGAGGAAGAGGGACAAGGACGAAGUCGAGGACGUGGACGAGGACUCCGAGUAA